GUCCGGUCCCGGUCCUUGAAAAUCAAGGUUUCCGGUCCCGGUCCGGAUCAAGUCCAAACCCGGGGUUUUCAGGUCUGGACCUGAAACCCGUUAAAAAUGCGUUUUUUAUAAAAAAAAAAAAAAAAUCCCAAAUUUCAAAAGAAGUCAGUUUCAUUUUUGUUAACACACUAACCCUAACUCACUUCUCUCUCUCUCUCUCUCUCUCUCAGCCGACAAGCAAACACGACAACACCCACUCCCUCCAGACCACCGCCCAGGCGCCCAGACACAAGUCGGAAGUCGCCACCGCCCACCAGACGUCCAGACCAGCAGUGACUACACGCUGUACAUCCUGCAACGACGAGUCGACGACUACACCCUGCAUCUGCAUCUCACUGAUCAACAAGAACCACGGAUUCUUACUCUUGCAAUAUUGUGUAUAAUUAUAUUGAAGAUGGAGAGCUCUCAAUCCAAAAGAUCUGCUGCUUUUUCUCAAGAAAUGCCACAGCCACUUUUUGAAAAGGAUAUGGAAGAAUUGCAAUCUACUUUGCCUCCAGAUAAGAAGUUAAAAGCGGGGCGGGAAUACAUAUGGAACAGAAAAAGUAAGAGGAUAUGGAAGAAAAUUUGAAAGAGUUACAAGAAAUGGAGAAAGAGGUGCAACAUGAUGUAUCUAACGAUGGAGACGAUGAAGUUGUUUUCGUUGACUCAUUAGUGUGAAUCACGCAAUCAAAGGGAAAGCAACUCGCCAAAAUUCAAGUUGUCUUUGGAUAAUUUAUGUAUUUCUAGUAUUUGAGACUUAGAGACUUUAUGUAAUUUAAUGAAUUAUUUGUUAUAUUUGAGACUUAUAGAUUUUAUGUAGUUUUUGUCAUUGAUA